rnacentral:tRNA from 1 species
ACCAAUUUAAUUUAAUAUAAAAUAAAAAAUUCCAAAUUUUUAAAUAAAAGUGCAACUCUUUUAAUUGGUA